GUGCCAGCGUGUAAGGCAGCGCUGGGCUAUGCUCCCAUGGGGUGUUCAUCCUACCCUUCUGGAUCAUCAUUUUGCAGGAAAAGUGGAGAGUCACUGGAGCAGAUGCCUGGAUUUAAUGUGAAAUUCUUUUUAAGCUUUUGCUUGAGGAAGCUGCCAGGAGCACAGCUACAGUCAAAUAACUCUUUGCAAUGCCAUCAUUACCAGCAACAGGUAUUUAUUGAAAAAAUCAAGUGAACCCUUUUCUAAACAAGUACCGACUCCCUCGUCGGGGAUGGGUAUGUUGGACUGGGACUAGGCUGGGCAGGUUGCACAGAUACAGUGAUCCCUGGUGGCCCUGGCUAAAUGGUAAGAGCCAGGCCCCUUAGCUGUAGGCCUGUCGGUGGGGCAGGUCCUAUUUAUUCAUGUAGGUGGGUUCAAUUGCAAAGUCUUUGUGGCCAGGACUGUUUUCAAUCUGGUGGCUGUGCCCAGAAUAACAGGAGCAGGAUGUCAGUGGGAGCCUCCAGAGCUGCUGCAACACAAAUACUGAUCAGUCUCUAACAGAUAAUGUUUCCUGUCUCCAGCUUUUAAGAGAGCCUUGCGGGCCAAGGGAAUGGAAAUCUUCCUCUCUCUUUUACUGGUUGCGGUCUCCAGUUCAGGCAGGUACAACAGGGAAGCGCCUGUUUGCUGCUCCAUCAGCUCUGGAUGUUCUCCAGAUGCCACUGGGGAGACCCGGUGGGUCCUGAGAAAGAAAAUAUGCCCACGAAGGCUCACUGGAGUGAUUACUAGCUAUCCCACACCUUGGGAAGCCAGUGCUAUCUGUGGCUCUGCCCUGAGGAAACUAGGUACCGACCGGAUAACGGCCAGGCCUGGGUGACAUGGCCGGGCAGAGCGCGACAAGGGAGCCGGGAGGAAGGAAAUGAAGUCAGCCCUGUGAUCCACACCAGAUGCACACUCACGCUUUGCUACGAGCUCACUACCCCCUGACCACGCGCUGCCCUGAUCUGCAGCUACAGCUGCGGGGAGAGCUGCCAAACUUGGCAAGGAUCCGGCCCGUUCCCGAAGCUCCCUUUCAGGCGCGAGGCAGCCCUUUCCCCAGGGCCCCGUGCGGAGCGGUGGUGGCUAAAUGAGUAAUACAGAAAUCUGCCUGCACGGCCAGCCAUAGCACAGUGUCGAAGCAUGGUGAUUUGUACGGACCGGUACGAUCCCUCCCGGGCUUGCGCGGUGGCUGAUGGACAGCCAAGGCUGAAAAUGUUGGGUGGGUAGGUAUCUCAGAAAAUAUUUGCGUUGUUUAUCAGGACAUGAAAAGUCAUGCGGUUUAAAGGAUAUAUCCACCGAGUACAACCAGUAAGUAGUUGCUUAAGAAAGCCUGCUGCUGGGACAACCAAAUCAUGGCCUCAGGGCAAAGAGGGGAGAAGAUCCUGUUCCCUGCAGGUCUGCUGGCAGCAGCCCUGGCUCUGUCCUGAACUCCUGCAGGACUGGGAUGACUGCGACUCCGAUCCCAGGGGCCGUGGCCAAGGAAAGAGGAGGCGAGCUUGGAGAGGUGGCUCCGCGGGAGCUUCUGACACCAGGAGAUGAGGUAAAAGAGCUGGAGCUUGGCCUUUUUACGACUCUUAGUAGCACUGAUUUGUUUGAAGAAGCAGCAGUUGGAAGGAGAGGGAGCGGAGCAGACACAGCUGUGGGCUAGGAGGCCAAAGGAGAAAGAGACAAGACGAGGGAAGACCACUGCUAGGAGACUCAUUUAUCCAAGCCAGCUGCACAUCUCAUGGUGUGUUUGGGUUUUUUUUAAUUGAUUUUUAUACUAACAGACAAUUAGGCUGAUCUAUUUAUUUUUUUGAUGUUUCUCUAGUACUGAGUCAUUUCCUGGGGGGUGGGAAGAAAAUAGCAUUUUUCUCAAAGCUUCGAAACAGUGUUUCAGAGUUUGGGUUGAGGAUUCUUUCUUUCCUUUCUUUCAAUGAAACAGCUACAUUUAAAAAAGCAUGAAAACAAAAAACAGGUUGACAACCCCUAAACUUCUGCCAGAGUUGCUCUUUGCUCACAGAAAUGGGUGUCUGUAACGGGUAGCCCAAAGCAGUGUACAGGGUGAAGGAUGAGACCUGCCAAAGCAGCCAAGCACCAGACUGCCUUGUCAUCAUAUUCACCCGCAGAUGUUGAUGCUUUUUCCAGCUCCUACACACGUCACUGGUGUCGGUGCCUGUCUGCUCCACAGCAUGCUGACCUUUCUUCUGGUUUACACAUCAAAACGGACUGCUUUGGCAGUGGUUUCCAAUUCAGUAAGCCACAUGCCUUUGCACUGUAGUGGACGUAAGGCAAAGCUGGCUAUAGCCCCCAAAGCUUAUGUGUUAGUACAUGCUGUUGGUCUGGAGAAGCCUAGUGUGAAACAGUGGUGAGCCUGGAUCCUUUUUUGCCAGAAAGCUAUAAGUACAAUGGGUUAGUUAGAUCUUUGACUAAUAAAAAUGGACAUCUGCAAUCAAGCUAAUUUGCUAGAGAUUAGAGCCUAAUUAAAAUCAAAGAAGCAAAGGGGCUGCCAGCCUCAGAACUAAGCGCACGCACAGAGCACCGGGCAUUGACAACUAAGAGAUGCACUGGCUUUUUGAAAAUAGACAGCAGUUAACCACCUUGAAGGAGAAGUCACACCACCCAUGAAGCUCCUAAGCACCAACUUCACUCUGUCCUGUCUUUCCUAUGGAUUGGGGACAGGAUACCCACCAGCCAUGGUGGAAAGAACAGCAAAAACUUCCAUUGACAUCGAUGGGUCCUGGACUCAUCUUGUGGCCUUGUUUGUUUGUCUGUUUGUUUGUUUGUUUGUUUGUUACAUAUGCCCUGUAGUACUGGGUGUCCAGAAUGUUUUACGCAUCGUUUCUCAGUGGAGAAGGAAGAAAGCAUCCACUUUCAGAGUCACUGCUUGUACGUCAUGCAGUUGGCAUGUGAGGGACCAUUGCUUUUGGUUGAGCAUUGGCAUCAUUAUGCUGGAAGUCAGAGUCAGUGCAGUUACCUCAGAUCCAGAGAGGCUUAUCUCACUGCAAUUUUUAACUGGUUAUCCUCCCUAAAUAGUAAGCCAUGAAGCCAGUAGUGAGAGGAAAGAAAACUUCUAAAGGUGUGCUCAUUGACCCAGUGAAUAUGGCAGGAAACCACAAAAGCUAUGUUGGGACCAUGGACAAAGCAAACUUGAUCCUGCCUCUACCCCUGGUUUUUCAUGUCUGUCUUUCAUGGCGCUGAUGCUUGUUAGGACCCUUAGCACUGUGUGAUGUGCAAUAACACCUGGAAUUAAGUGCUAGCCUGAAGCGCUAACCCUUGGAAGUCAACAGGCACAUGGUCAACAGCAGGCGCUUGUAAAAUAGAGCCUGUCUGUUGAAAACAGCUUGAUUUCUUAUUCACAACAGAUCAUAUUAACCCAUUCUCAACUAAAUUGGCAAGGGGCAGUGAUUUAACAUUUUAAAACAAAAGGAAGCAAGAGGAUACUGGUGACUAAUUUCCUCCAAAUGACGUCAUGUGGGUCAUCUUCCUCAUAUGUUGUUUGUUUUGCCGAUUAGUCUUUAGGUAGAUAUUCAUAUAUCAACUAUUAUUUUCCACUGUGAAUUGUGGUUUUCUGCCCAGCAGCAAGUCCAGUUUCCAGGGUAAUUGGGAAGCCAACUCCUUUCUAACUACGCAAAAGAUGAACUGUGUUUCCUGCAACUUUAAUGUCUCUAAUGUUAUUGGUUGAGUAACAGCCGGAAGCAACAGUGUCUUCUGUAAGGAAAUAUGCCAACAGUUGUUGCUUAGAAGUGAAUAAAACUUACUUUUUUUUAAAUAAAAA